UUAACUCAGAUUUGUAUGGAGCUGAAAUGUUUGCCGCUAGGGGCACUGUUUCAACUGCAUACAAUUUUGAGUUA
rnacentral:pre_miRNA from 1 species